AUACGGAGGGGGCUAGCGUUGUUCGGAAUCACUGGGCGUAAAGCGCUCGUAGGCGGACCAGUCAGUCAGAGGUGAAAUCCCAAGGCUCAACCUUGGAACUGCCUUAGAUACUGCUGGUCUUGAGGUCGAGAGAGGUAAGUGGAAUUCCUAGUGUAGAGGUGAAAUUCGUAGAUAUUAGGAAGAACACCAGUGGCGAAGGCGGCUUACUGGCUCGAUUCUGACGCUGAGGAGCGAAAGCGUGGGGAGCAAACAGGAUUAGAAACCCUAGUAGUCC
rnacentral:rRNA from 1 species